rnacentral:rRNA from 1 species
AGAGUUUGAUCCUGGCUCAGGAUGAACGCUGGCGGCGUGCUUAACACAUGCAAGUCGAACGGGGAACCUUUUAUUGAAGCUUCGGCAGAUUUAGAUUGUUUCUAGUGGCGGACGGGUGAGUAACGCGUGGGUAACCUGCCUUAUACAGGGGGAUAACAGCUGGAAACGGCUGCUAAUACCGCAUAAGCGCACGAGGAGACAUCUCCUAGUGUGAAAAACUCCGGUGGUACAGGAUGGGCCCGCGUCUGAUUAGCUGGUUGGCAGGGUAACGGCCUACCAAACCGACGAUCAGUAGCCCGGCCUGAGAGGGCGACCGGCCACAUUGGGACUGAGACACGGCCCAGACUCUUACGGGAGGCAGCAGUGGGGAAUAUUGCACAAUGGGGGGAACCCUGAUGCAGCGACGCCGCGUGAAGGAAGAAGUAUCUCGGUAUGUAAACUUCUAUCAGCAGGGAAGAAAAUGACGGUACCUGACUAAGAAGCCCCGGCUAACUACGUGCCAGCAGCCGCGGUAAUACGUAGGGGGCAAGCGUUAUCCGGAUUUACUGGGUGUAAAGGGAGCGCAGGCGGUGCGGCAAGUCUGAUGUGAAAGCCCGGGGCUCAACCCCGGUACUGCAUUGGAAACUGUCGUACUAGAGUGUCGGAGGGGUAAGCGGAAUUCCUAGUGUAGCGGUGAAAUGCGUAGAUAUUAGGAGGAACACCAGUGGCGAAGGCGGCUUACUGGACGAUAACUGACGCUGAGGCUCGAAAGCGUGGGGAGCAAACAGGAUUAGAUACCCUGGUAGUCCACGCCGUAAACGA